rnacentral:rRNA from 1 species
GUGGCGAACGGGUGAGUAACACGUGGGCAAUCUGCCCUUCACUCUGGGACAAGCCCUGGAAACGGGGUCUAAUACCGGAUACCACUCCUGCCUGCAUGGGCGGGAGUUGAAAGCUCCGGCGGUGAAGGAUGAGCCCGCGGCCUAUCAGCUUGUUGGUGGGGUAAUGGCCCACCAAGGCGACGACGGGUAGCCGGCCUGAGAGGGCGACCGGCCACACUGGGACUGAGACACGGCCCAGACUCCUACGGGAGGCAGCAGUGGGGAAUAUUGCACAAUGGGCGAAAGCCUGAUGCAGCGACGCCGCGUGAGGGAUGACGGCCUUCGGGUUGUAAACCUCUUUCAGCAGGGAAGAAGCGAAAGUGACGGUACCUGCAGAAGAAGCGCCGGCUAACUACGUGCCAGCAGCCGCGGUAAUACGUAGGGCGCAAGCGUUGUCCGGAAUUAUUGGGCGUAAAGAGCUCGUAGGCGGCUUGUCACGUCGGAUGUGAAAGCCCGAGGCUUAACCUCGGGUCUGCAUUCGAUACGGGCUAGCUAGAGUGUGGUAGGGGAGAUCGGAAUUCCUGGUGUAGCGGUGAAAUGCGCAGAUAUCAGGAGGAACACCGGUGGCGAAGGCGGAUCUCUGGGCCAUUACUGACGCUGAGGAGCGAAAGCGUGGGGAGCGAACAGGAUUAGAUACCCUGGUAGUCCACGCCGUAAACGUUGGGAACUAGGUGUUGGCGACAUUCCACGUCGUCNGUGCCGCUCUAACGCAUUAAGUUCCCCGCCUGGGGAGUAC